UCUAGCGUCUACUUCCCUCUCCACUAUGUGAAGUGUUCGUUCAAUUUCAGGAUCAAGAGGAAGGAGAUUGUUUGCGCUUCUACUCUUCCGCAUUCUAGAGAAGAGCUUGUGUUAACACAAACAAGGUGAGCUGAAAAUUAAAACUUGAAUAAAUAACUAAUAAAAGCUCUAUUCAGUCAAGUAGCUAAUUUCUAAGUCCCCGGCAGCGGCGCUAAAAACUUGUUGCGACCAA
rnacentral:lncRNA from 1 species